UAAUUCUGAAAAUAAAUUCCACAAAUCAUUCUUAUUUCAAUUUUGUCGCUUCAUUUUCGUCUUCCUCUUCUCUCAAUGCUCCACCGUCUCCCCCACGACCUUCUCUUCAGGUUCCCGGUUUCAUUCACCUCAACAUGAUGGAAAAGAUGCUACAGAAAGAGAAACCAAGCCUUGGAAUUCAGAUUGUAUAUCUAUAGAGAACAACAAAUCAUCGGUUCAAAUAAAGGUAUCGUUCUUUGCCAGAGCUCAAGAUUUAACCGGUUUAAGUGAUUUACCUCUGGAAGUAUCAUAUGGUAGUACAACUGAAUAUUGCUUGAACAAGCUUGUUGCAAAGUUUCCAAGCUUGGAAGAGAUCUGGCUGCAUGGUUCUUGCUUUAAACGAGGAAUAUGCAAAUGACUCAAUUAUUGCUAAAGACAAAGAUGAAUUGGCCAUUAUCCCUCCUCUAAGUGGUGGCUAAUUAUUUGCGUUCAUAAGGAAAAUAGAAGAAAACGAAGUUGAUGACUAUAUAUAUUUAUUUUAUAUUCAGAAGAAAAACAAAUUAGUGCUAAUUUUAGUAGUUUAAUUCAAUUCACAUAAUGUCUAUUAGACUCUUAUUUUAUGUUAGUAUUUUAACUUUUAAAUUUUUUAGGUUUCUAUAUAGGAUUAAUAUUUUCUUACCUUAUCGAUUAA